UCGAGUCUAAAAAACUCCCUAAACCAUUGUGAACUUACCUAUUCGUUGCUUCGGUGGGCGACCCCUCUAGGGGUCCUUGGUCGCAAGGCGCCCGCCGAAGGUUAUUUAACUCUUGCUUUUUUAUUGUCACAUCUGAGUUAUUACAAAGAUAAUCA
rnacentral:misc_RNA from 1 species